UCGGGUGUCCAGGCGCCGGAUCUGAGCGAACGUCUCAGUCGGUUAGCUCAUGGGUGGAACAUUGACAUUGGUGCGGAGCCGAACGGCUCGAACUCAGUACGCCUCCUCGGAGGAAGGAACGGUUCGGAUCACUAGGCGCCGCACAUGCACGCUGUUGGGUCCUGAGGGACCGGGCCUCAUCGGAUGAUGAGAACUGGACCUCUGGACCUUUUCUUGUCGGCAUCACUUGCCGAGCGGAGAAGGUACCGCCCGUACUUUGAGAACUACACAGUGGACGCGAGCAUCUUAGAUUCGAACCUUCGGGUUCGGAUCACAAAAGAUGAUCUGAUUUAUUAGAUCAUUGGUCAAUCUGUGUCGAACCUGCUUCGGUAGGUACGACGCCGAUCGAUUCAAACUCAUGUGAU
rnacentral:misc_RNA from 1 species